AACGAACGCUGGCGGCAGGCCUAACACAUGCAAGUCGAGCGCCCCGCAAGGGGAGCGGCGGACGGGUGAGUAACGCGUGGGAAUAUGCCCUUUGCUACGGAAUAGUCUCGGGAAACUGGGGGUAAUACCGUAUACGCCCUUUGGGGGAAAGAUUUAUCGGCGAAGGAUUAGCCCGCGCUGGAUUAGGUAGUUGGUGGGGUAAUGGCCUACCAAGCCGACGAUCCAUAGCUGGUUUGAGAGGAUGAUCAGCCACACUGGGACUGAGACACGGCCCAGACUCCUACGGGAGGCAGCAGUGGGGAAUCUUAGACAAUGGGGGCAACCCUGAUCUAGCCAUGCCGCGUGAGUGAUGAAGGCCUUAGGGUUGUAAAGCUCUUUCAGCUGGGAAGAUAAUGACGGUACCAGCAGAAGAAGCCCCGGCUAACUCCGUG
rnacentral:rRNA from 1 species